rnacentral:rRNA from 1 species
ACGUACACUCCUGCGGGAGGCAGCAGUGGGGAAUCUUGCGCAAUGGGCGAAAGCCUGACGCAGCCAUGCCGCGUGAAUGAUGAAGGUCUUAGGAUUGUAAAAUUCUUUCACCGGGGACGAUAAUGACGGUACCCGGAGAAGAAGCCCCGGCUAACUUCGUGCCAGCAGCCGCGGUAAUACGAAGGGGGCUAGCGUUGCUCGGAAUUACUGGGCGUAAAGGGAGCGUAGGCGGACAUUUAAGUCAGGGGUGAAAUCCCGGGGCUCAACCUCGGAAUUGCCUUUGAUACUGGGUGUCUUGAGUAUGAGAGAGGUGUGUGGAACUCCGAGUGUAGAGGUGAAAUUCGUAGAUAUUCGGAAGAACACCAGUGGCGAAGGCGACACACUGGCUCAUUACUGACGCUGAGGCUCGAAAGCGUGGGGAGCAAACAGGAUUAGAUACCCGAGUAGUCCCAUGA